rnacentral:rRNA from 1 species
CACGUAGGGUGCGAGCGUUGUCCGGAAUUAUUGGGCGUAAAGAGCUCGUAGGCGGUGUGUCGCGUCGGCCGUGAAAACCUGCAGCUUAACUGUGGGCGUGCGGUCGAUACGGGCAUCACUGGAGUUCGGCAGGGGAGACUGGAAUUCCUGGUGUAGCGGUGAAAUGCGCAGAUAUCAGGAGGAACACCGGUGGCGAAGGCGGGUCUCUGGGCCGAUACUGACGCUGAGGAGCGAAAGCGUGGGGAGCGAUCCGG